rnacentral:lncRNA from 1 species
UCCCUACAACAUAAAACUUAUGAAUUAAUUUAAAAUUCAAUCCUUAUUUCAUUUCUAACUUGAAUUCCUAUCAAUCUAACCCCUAAUUCAUCUUUUUAUUCAACAUGAACAAUAUUUAAAAAUCUAAUAACUUUCAAAAUAUUCACUUAAUUUCAUCAAAACCUUGUCCCAAAGCUUCCAAAACAUCAAAAUUAAGUAAAAAGGGACUAAAUUGACUUACCUAUUUAACUUUCAAGCCUUGAAAUCCCAAUUUUUCCCUUUUUCCUUCUUUCUUUUUUCCCUUCCUUCUUUCUUUCCCCUGCUCUCUGUUUCGUUUCAUCCUUUCUUU